CAGUCGCCACGGUAAUACAGAGGAUGCAAGCGUUAUCCGGAAUGAUUGGGCGUAAAGCGUCUGUAGGUGGCUUUUCAAGUCCGCCGUCAAAUCCCAGGGCUCAACCCUGGACAGGCGGUGGAAACUACCAAGCUAGAGUACGGUAGGGGCAGAGGGAAUUUCCGGUGGAGCGGUGAAAUGCGUUGAGAUCGAAAAGAACACCAACGACGAAAGCACUCUGCUGGGUCGACACUGACACUGAGAGACGAAAGCUAGGGGAGCAAAUGGGAUUAGAUACCCGCGUAGUCCCUGUCUCUUAUAC
rnacentral:rRNA from 1 species